CAAGCUCACACCUAUAAACGGUGGCGUUGGCUGUAGAGGAGAGGAGCUGAUUGUGGGCCGGUAGACCGUUGUUACGGAGCGGGCUCAGCAAUCAGCCCUCCUGCACAGUUGCACAUCAAGGGCCCACACCUAUAAACGGUGGCGUAUGGCUCUUGAGGCAGUGUGAUGACCGUGGGUGGGGAUCCGUUAAGGUCCCCCCGCUCUGGACUCCUGCCGUGUGUGACUGGGCUGUCUGCCAAAGCUCCUGGGUGCUAGGAGACAUUCAGUAUGCUUAACAGGUUGGUUGUAAAACUAACAAUUUGUUUGAAGAAAAGGGGAUAAAGAAUUGGAGAAUAACUUUUGAACUGUAAUUCUCUCUCCUUUUAAAAUAUAUUAAUGUGAACCAAAAUAGAUGUAAUAAAAAAAUAAAAAUAAAAAGCAAGGGGCUGUCCGGGGCUUUUUGAUUAUUCCUCAGAAAUCAUUACAAGACUGGGUUUUCCGAAAAUUUGAAAGUUGGCGAAAAAAUUUAACCCGUGCGAUGAUUUUCACAAUUAGUAUUUUUUUUUAAUAUUACUACAUCAAAAUAAAAUUAAAAUUUUGAAUACUUAUCUUUAACAUUCUCUUUUAAUCUAUGAUUUAAUUCUUUAUUUUUAAUCAUUCAAGAAACAUUAAUUUUUUCCCGUAAGAGGAAACUGACAUUUUAAAGUGUAACUGUUUUUUUUUUUAUCUAUUCCAAUUUUAUACUUCUCCGUGCCAUCUAAUGUGUAUCUAAUUUGGAGUCUAGUGAAUCUUAACUUCUCCUUGGAGAAAAGGCAGCCACAACUCAGCGCUAUUAUCUAAUGUGUGAGUAUUAACUUGUACUUUUGAAGAAGUGUUUGUUGGCUUGGUAUAAAUUGCCUAUUCUUAAAAAUAAUAAUAAUAUUAAAUUCUUUCUUAUAUGCAAAAGAACAAUAGGAAAUUCAUCACAGAUAUUUUCAAACAAAUUUUUGAUUUUCUGCUGGCUUCUUUUGGAAGGCAAAACAACUUUUCUGUUUCAACAUUGAAUGUUUCUGUGGCGUAAAGUGGAUGUUAUUAACUGGUUUCUAUUGUUUCUAUUCAAGAUUAUGCUUGAUGGUUGUUGGGAGCUAUUCGAAUUGAAAAUUUCACGUAAUGGAUCGUCUAAGAUAUGGCGUUUUUCCAGACUAUUUCAUGCAGAUUUCAUGCUUUUGUAAUAAGAGCACGGGACCUAAUCAAACUUGAGCUUGCAACGGAGAGUUGAGUGAACAACGAGACCCCAAGGACAACCACAUAUUAUCGAAGAAGGAGAGCUUCAACAAGACAUUGCAGAAUCUCUUGAUAUUAUUUGUUUCUCAACAUUAGCCUCAGCAGCAGAUUUGCAUUGCGUUUAAUGUGUUUAGUUAGCCUGUCAACGCGUCGCGUUAAUUUUUGCAAGUUUACGCCAUGGUAUCAAAAUAAUGCUGAAGCGGUUGGCCGGUUGUGGUCAAGAGGCGCACUCGGUUGCGAAAGGACAAAUCACCAACAAUUUCGGGUUUACGUUGCCACUCGAUGAUUGCAAUGGAGGAUUGCAUUGUUUACUAUAACUACUGGUUUUGGUUAACCGUUUAUGAUAUACUACAGUUGACAUGUGGUAUUAUCCAAGCCACAUCUAGCUCCGUGUGCAGGGAAUUAUCCGGGUCGUUCUCAACGUUCUCAACACGUUUGAAUAUUGUCCGUUACGUUGGUGGUGAUGUCAGUCAAGGCAUUCGUGAAUCAUCGAUAGUUAAGUCUGAAAUCGACGGUAAGUAAAUUAUGGUAAUAACCCCCAACGCAAUAUGAGGAUUUAUUCGUCAAGCUUAUUUCGUUGGUAGUUGUACAGCGAAAUGAGCUGUAAUGGUAUUCUUUAUUCACGCGAUUUUUUAGUUUGGGUUUGCCGUCUGUCAUGCCGGUCUAUUAUAUAGGAUACGUAUUUCAUAAUUUUUAUAGUCUCACUGUAUAUAAUACUAAAGGUUGCACACGAGAUUUUUUCCUAACUUACGAGCAGCGUAAAGGGUGGAGAAUAAAGGGAAUUUGAUUAUUGAGGGUUCCAAGUUUUGAAACGAUGCAUGGCUUUCUGAAAAUUGAUGUUCUUUUCGUGCCAUUUUGAAGCCACAAGCCACGUAGAAACAUUUGUAAUUUACUCACGAAAUUUUCAAACGAAGAAAUUACGCCGGUUUUUAGAAUCAUUUGAAGUUUUUUCUUGGGCAGUUGAAAUCAUAUUUAUUAUUCAUCGUGUCGUGAAAAGCUAGCGGGCCUAAAUGUAAUGUUAAAUUCUUGCGCCAUUGUUUAUUUUUUUGCUUCCAUAACUUGUGUUUUGAAUGUGGCCGUCAUCUAGCGCCCAGAUGACGGAACAUUGUUCGAUUUGACACAAUUAACCGCUAGAGUUGAUCAUCACUAAAGCCCCACCUGACAGUUUAAUGGCUUUCGCCUCUUCGUUCUUUGACUUUUUGCUUCUCUAUAAACAUAGGUAUUUCAAUUUCAUGCGUUUAGGGUUGCAGUUAUGUUAGUCGAGUUUGAGAGAGUGUCUAAAUUAAGUAACUGUUACAUUCCCAAUGUAAAAUUGUUUUUAAAUCUUCUAGAACAGAAGGAGAAAAAUGUUUGAAGACGACGCUCAUAAUAAGAGAUAGUAAAUGUAACUGACGUUGCAUGUUAAAUAUCUGGUUUCUUAAGUUGAUGUAAUGGGAUACUAGGAUUGUGAUCUUUGCCCUUAUUCUAUCCACAGAAUGAAACACCCAAACUUUGAAAAGAACUGGAUCUAGUCUUUGCUGAGCUCAGAUUAAAAGUAAACGAUAAGUUGUCACUAUUGCAAAUAUCAUACAAAUGCUGCCAUGCCAAGCAGGCCUGCUCGGAUAGUCUGCUCAGGAUCAAUCACUCCAAGCUCAGCCAUACUCAACAGCAACAUGGGGAGUGUGGCUUAUGGGAUUGGAUCCUUCUCCCUCACCUUCUACUUUGUAUCCUUCUCUUAGCUGGCCUCUGUCGACUCCAUCCACGAUCCAUCUAUUGGGUAUUAUCAUGAUUCAUUAUGUAAGAUACAUCUUUUACCUUUGAUGAAGGUAGUAAAGUAGGUAAAUUGAAGUGAACGAAAUUGUUUUACCAUGCAAGGCUGGAAGGAAUAGGGAAGUAAGGAUUUGCCUGCACCCUAAUGAGGAACUGGAAGAUCUCCGAAAAAUCCCUAAUUUCGCAUUCAUCCACAAGAAUGAUGCCAUAGCUCAUACUACAUGUGUCAUCUGACUACUGGUACUCGGUACACCUGCCGAAUCUAGAAGUUAAAUUUAUUUUGGGAAUCCAGUUAAUCCAGACCGUUAAAGUCAGGACCCCAAAAGUGUUAAACUUUAUUGGCGGCAUCUCGAUCAGCCAUCAUCAUGUUAAGUGACCUGUUUACCGGCCAUCGCAGCUCUCACCUGUUUUGGAUGACUUCCAGUUGCUAAAGUUUCGCCAUAACAUAGCGAAAUCUCUUCAGCUACUAUAAAACAUGGGAUCCUCGAUAUUUUGAAUUCACAGCAGUUCCUCCACUUCAGCUGAACUAUCAACUCUCUUAUAAUUGUAGUGCCGGCAGCCUGAUAUAAUUCAAAAUGAAUAAGAUGAAGUUUUCGUCUAUCAUUUCUCUGAUCGCCUCGGCCAUUUUCGUGACGACUGUGUUUGCUCGCGUGUGGGACUAUGCCGAGGGUGGCCAAGUUCGGUGGUCGACCAAUUGUAACUUCAAUGGCAGUGACAUCCAGACAGUGUUUGUACCAAACAACCAGUGUGGAAGAGUGUGCAUCGACAACUGGGCUUGCACUCACUUCACCGCCAGUCGAACUGUAUGUGUUCUAAAGAGAAAUUUGACCGGGAUGACUGAAGUCUUUUCUCGUACCGAAAUCUGCGGAUUCCUCUCUGGCCGCAGCAACCAAAGCACUGAAACCCAAAAAACUCUUGUUAAAAAUUAGGAGUGAAUAAAGGGAAACUUGUUGUCCUCUUAUUGUUGUUGAAGGUGCGCUACACCAAUUUUCAUAUAAGAUUUUUAAGUUUUUUUAAAUAUCAUGUAAUCUUUGAUUUUCUUAUAUUUACUUACGAGUUUUAUUCAAAUUAU